rnacentral:tRNA from 3 species
GUCGGGAUAGCUCAGCUGUAGAGCAGAG